AGUGAACGCUGGCGGUAGGCCUAACACAUGCAAGUCGAACGGCAGCACAGUAAGAGCUUGCUCUUACGGGUGGCGAGUGGCGGACGGGCGAGGAAUACAUCGGAAUCUACUUUUUCGUGGGGGAUAACGUAGGGAAACUUACGCUAAUACCGCAUACGACCUACGGGUGAAAGCAGGGGAUCUUCGGACCUUGCGCGAUUGAAUGAGCCGAUGUCGGAUUAGCUAGUUGGCGGGGUAAAGGCCCACCAAGGCGACGAUCCAUAGCUGGUCUGAGAGGAUGAUCAGCCACACUGGAACUGAGACACGGUCCAGACUCCUACGGGAGGCAGCAGUGGGGAAUAUUGGACAAUGGGCGCAAGCCUGAUCCAGCCAUACCGCGUGGGUGGAGAAGGCCUUCGGGUUGUAAAGCCCUUUUGUUGGGAAAGAAAAGCAGCAGGUUAAUACCCCGCUGUUCUGACGGUACCCAAAGAAUAAGCACCGGCUAACUUCGUG
rnacentral:rRNA from 1 species